GAUGAACGCUGGCGGCGUGCUUAACACAUGCAAGUCGAACGGAAAGGCCAGUGCUUGCAUUGGCACUCGAGUGGCGAACGGGUGAGUAACACGUGGGGGAUCCGCACCUUACUUCGGGAUAUGCUUGGGAGACUCGGUCUAAUACCGGAGAGGACAACUUUUUGGGUAUUGUUGUGGAAAGCUUUGGCGGUAUGGGGUGAGCUCGCGGUCUAUCAGCUUGUUGGUGGGGUAAUGGCCUACCAAGGCCUCGACGGGUAGCCGGCCUGAGAGGGUGGACGGCCACACUGGGACUGAGGUAGGGACCAGACUGGUACCGGAGGCAGGGGUGGGGAGUCUUGAGGAAUGGGCGCGCGCCAGAUGCAGAGACGCCCGGUGGGGGAUGAAGGCCUUCGGGUGGUAAACAAAUUUCGCUGGAGACGGAGCGUUAGUGACGGUACCUGGAGAAGAAGCACCGGCUAACUACGUG
rnacentral:rRNA from 1 species